CUUUGGACAAUGGUAGGAGAGCGUUCUAAGGGCGUUGAAGCAUGAUCGUAAGGACAUGUGGAGCGCUUAGAAGUGAGAAUGCCGGUGUGAGUAGCGAAAGACGGGUGAGAAUCCCGUCCACCGAUUGACUAAGGUUUCCAGAGGAAGGCUCGUCCGCUCUGGGUUAGUCGGGUCCUAAGCUGAGGCCGACAGGCGUAGGCGAUGGAUAACAGGUUGAUAUUCCUGUACCACCUAUAAUCGUUUUAAUCGAUGGGGGGACGCAGUAGGAUAGGCGAAGCGUGCGAUUGGAUUGCACGUCUAAGCAGUAAGGCUGAGUAUUAGGCAAAUCCGGUACUCGUUAAGGCUGAGCUGUGAUGGGGAGAAGACAUUGUGUCUUCGAGUCGUUGAUUUCACACUGCCGAGAAAAGCCUCUAGAUAGAAAAUAGGUGCCCGUACCGCAAACCGACACAGGUAGUCAAGAUGAGAAUUCUAAGGUGAGCGAGCGAACUCUCGUUAAGGAACUCGGCAAAAUGACCCCGUAACUUCGGGAGAAGGGGUGCUCUUUAGGGUUAACGCCCAGAAGAGCCGCAGUGAAUAGGCCCAAGCGACUGUUUAUCAAAAACACAGGUCUCUGCUAAACCGUAAGGUGAUGUAUAGGGGCUGACGCCUGCCCGGUGCUGGAAGGUUAAGAGGAGUGGUUAGCUUCUGCGAAGCUACGAAUCGAAGCCCCAGUAAACGGCGGCCGUAACUAUAACGGUCCUAAGGUAGCGAAAUUCCUUGUCGGGUAAGUUCCGACCCGCACGAAAGGCGUAACGAUUUGGGCACUGUCUCAACGAGAGACUCG
rnacentral:rRNA from 1 species